rnacentral:rRNA from 1 species
AUGGCAGCCGUCUGCACUUCAUGGCGCUCUGCCGCGGCGGCUUCCGGCGUCCCUCGUUCUGGCACACCUUGGCUUGUGUCCCGCGAAUCUGAGCCUCUCACGAAAACGAAAGGCAGUGAGUUCCGGAACGUUCUCGACCCCGAUAAGAUACACAUGGUUAGCUAUCCUCAAGGACGGCGUAACCUCUCUUGGUGUGGAGCCUCCCAUGGUUGGCUCAUUGCCUCUGACGAACUCUCCAAUCUUUUGAUCUGCAAUCCCUUCACGUUGGCCAUGAUCCCUCUCCCGCCUAUUACUGAUCUGGAAUGUGUCGAGGGAGUCUACGACAAUGAUAGAAGCAUUGCUGGUUAUUAUUAUGGAAAUUCUGACAAGCUUAUCAGUCCUCCAGAUUACAUUGGCCGCUGGUUCUACCAGAAGGUGGUGUUGUCAUCUGAUCCAUCUCCAUCUCACGGCGGUGGUGACUACAUUGCCAUGGCCAUCUAUGGGAAUAAUCAGGUUUCUUUUGCGAGAGCAAGAGAGAACAGCUGGCGACAUGGUACGGCUCUUAGUGAGAUGGGGAAGGAUUCAUACGCUGAUUGUGUCUACCACAAUGGCAGAUUCUACACGGUGACAAUGUGUGGGGUGGUCGAGACAUGGGAUCUUAAUAAAGAGCCAGCACAUGAACCAAACAAACAGGUGAUCAUUGCUGGCGGGGAUGGGAGAUACAGGAGGAUUCUUACCAGGUUCCUGGUGUCUACUCCCUGGGGUUGUCUCCUGCAGAUCCGAACUCAACGGCGCAAUGAUCAUCCUAGGAAGGUCAUGGUUGAUGUGUUUGAGAGGACGUGGGCAUAG